AGCAGAGAUCCCCGGGGUCAACUUGGAUUAGCCCUAAUAGACAUUCAGUGCUGACAGACUGCUACAACUCUGAGACCUUUUGGAACCAUAUGCUGUAACUCAUUUGUGUGUAUAUUUGGCUGCAUCCUGUUUCUCAG